GCACCCGGCGCAACGGUAGCGCGUCCGACUCCAGAUCGGAAGGCUGCGUGUUCAAAUCACGUCGGGUUCA
rnacentral:tRNA from 1 species